rnacentral:lncRNA from 1 species
AUAAAUGUUCCGCAUGUUCCCAGUUCGAACACCAAAAAUACAUCCCAAGACAAUAAAUGUUUAUCAGAUGUAUACAGUGUAGUCAUUUCUUCCCUAUGUUCGCAGUUGGAACACCAAAAAUACAUGGCAAGCCAAUUGUUCAGUAUACAUACCACAUCAAUUCUAAUGCUGUUGAAAAAUGAUAGGUACGAAUGGGAAAUGCAAAUAGCAAGGCGCCGGAAGAGAAAAGAGUGUCAGAUGUGCUUGUACCCCCUCUUGCUGACCUACAUUCACAAGGGAGCCAAAGUACGUUAGAAUAACAUAAAUGAGUCAGAUGUCAAGGGUGCCCAACAAUCAUUGUAUCUCGCUAAUGUGUUCUAGGCCAUAAUGUUGACGAAAGUGUUGAUGAAUACAACCCAGCAAUAAUUCCCGUAGCUGACAAUGUUGACAAUUAUCAAAUGACUCCAGGUAUUGGAGUCUGUAAAUACCCCUAUCUGUUGUAUCAUAUAGUUUUAACAUGAUCAAUCGUGCCUAACAGACUUGGAAGCACACAAGGAAACAGAUGGAACUGGCAUGCCACGGAUAGAGCAGGACGAGCUUGCAAACCUAACCAAACACCCUCUUUCUGAUAUAACAAUUGCUGAUCAGCCUGGGCAUGCGAGUUUAGUAUGUGGGUUCCAUAUUUAAACACACUAUCUACCCUAUUCGGUUAGCAGGAAACUGCCUCAUUCUGUACUGGUUUUGUUUUAUAGACAACCCAUCAAUCUCCUUCUGUAGCCCUGAUGUUGCUUCGUUCCCUGAUCCGAGUACUCUCACAGCUAUUUUUGCCUGCGGCCUUGCAGUAAGUUCAUUUGGUAUGAUCUGACACGUGCAUCAUGGACAGUGAUCAAACGUCUCUAUGAAUGUACAUGUUGACUAAUUCUCAUCAAGAUUUGUUGUUUAUACAUCGUGCAGACAAUAAUGUGCCUUCAUUCCCGGAUAGGAGUACUCUUGCAUCACUUUAUGCCGCAUGUCACUUUAUGCCUUUCAUAUGGCCAGAUUUGUGCUUAAAGGGAUGCAUGUUCAUGUAUUAGCCUAACCGACAUAUUUUCUUUUGUUCCUGUAGCCAGAGAGUCUGCCCACAAUGAUGUGUGUCUUAAUGCCCUUGGUUGUGGUGGUUCAGAGCUUGUGACAUCGUCUACCCCAACAUGUGAUGUAUACCCAACUCAUUCCGAAACAACAUGUGUUGUUGUGAAUGACCAAGUGAGUUAUAGCAUAACAAACGACAAAAGGGAGCAGAGAAACGCACGACGGCGAGCAACUUAUUGAAAGAAAAAGGAUGAACAGGUCAAGCUCCAAAAUGAAAAGCAGACUAUUUCCCGACCCCCUCUUGGUGAUAUCAUUAAUAUUGAUCAGCCUUCCGGUUCAAUACCAGGUGCGGGUGUUUAAAGUUAUGAGCUUACGGCGGUGACAAACCAAAUUUGGGAAUCAAAUAUUAGAAUACGCACUUUUAGCUUUGACUUACAAUAAUUGAUUCAAUAUGAAGUUAAAAACUGGAGUUUGAUAUAUGAACGGUCAAGAAAUGUCAUAUAUCGGAAUGCUUAAAAAAACAUCUGCAGUGUUAGAAAGAUGUAAAUGGAUUUAAAAAAAUAAAUUAGAUUUACCGGCACUCAAGAAGGUGAAUAAUAUGAUAGAUAGUUCUCGAUUUGUCGGAGAAAGAAACAAAUGUGGAGUAUGAAACAUUAACUAUCACAACGUCAGUAGAAAACAUUGAUAUGAAAUAGAUGUAUAGUACCGAAGAUGGGUAUAUUAUCAAUUGGGUCAAGUUCUCCAUUGGCACUGCAUGUAUUUUUUUCUCUCGUUGCAAUGGCAAAAUAGAAAAAUUUAUGUAAGCGGACUUGCCAAUGUUCACCAGAUCGACGCACCUCCCACCAUCCCGUACCACUGGUUUUAAACUACGUAUCGACAAAAAACCAGAUCGACGCACCAACGAGGACCCGAUCCGCUCCUCGUUUCCCACGUCCGUCCUGGAUCACGAGAACGCCGCCGCCGCUGCUGCCUCACAUACGUCGCCGGUGGCAGAUCACGAACAAUACCGUCGCGGAUCGGCAGGCCGCCGCCGCUUCAGGUACCCACACACCACGAUCCCGUCGUGGAUCAGCAGGCCGCCGCCGCCGCCAAGUCAGGUACCCACACACCAUGAUCCCAUCGUGGGUCAGCAAGACACCGCCGCCACCGCCUCGGGCAGCCACACGCCACAGAUCUCCGACGACGACGCCUACGGCGGCAAGCAGUGCAGGGCGUCUUCACUGAUCAGUUUUCAACCUUGCUUUCUUAAAGGUACGUAUGCUCAUGAUCUCUUAAAGAUCACGCAACGCUACAAAAGACAAUUGUCACCGGAUGGAGCCAUAUGCAACAGAGCCAUAUACGAUGGAGCCACCAGAUGGAGCCAUACGAAUAAAUGUUCCCCAUGUUCCCAGUUCGAACACCAAAAAUACAUCCCAAGACAAUAAAUGUUUAUCAGAUGUAUACAGUGUAGUCAUUUCUUCCCUAUGUUCGCAGUUGGAACACCAAAAAUACAUGGCAAGCCAAUUGUUCAGUAUACAUACCACAUCAAUUCUAAUGUUGUUGAAAAAUGAUAGGUACGAAUGGGAAAUGCAAAUAGCAAGGCGCCGGAAGAGAAAAGAGUGCCAGAUGUGCUUGUACCCCCUCUUGCUGACCUACAUUCACAAGGGAGCCAAGGUACGUUAGAAUAACAUAAAUGAGUCAGAUGUCAAGGGUGCCCAACAAUCAUUGUAUCUCGCUAAUGUGUUCCAGGCCAUAAUGUUGACGGAAGUUUUGAUGAAUACAACCCAGCAAUAAUUCCCGUAGCUGACAAUGUUGACAAUUAUCAAUUGACUCCAGGUAUUGGAGUCUGUAAAUACCCCUAUCUGUUGUAUCAUAUGGUUUUAACAUGAUCAAUCGUGCCUAACAGACUUGGAAGCACACAAGGAAACAGAUGGAACUGGCAUGCCACGGAUAGAGCAGGACGAGCUUGCAAACCUAACCAAACACCCUCUUUCUGAUAUAACAAUUGCUGAUCAGCCUGGGCAUGUGAGUUUACGUACGUGGGUUCCAUAUUUAAACACACUAUCUACCCUAUUCGGUUAGCAAGAAACUGCCUCAUUCUGUACUGGUUUUGUUUUGUAGACAACCCAUCAAUCUCCAUUGUAGCCCUGAUGUUGCUUCGUUCCCUGAUCCGAGUACUCUCACAGAUAUUUUUGCCUGCGGCCUUGCAGGAAGUUUAUUUGGUAUGAUCUGACACGUGCAUCAUGGACAGUGAUAAACGUCUCUAUGAAUGUACAUGUUGACUAAUUCUCAUCAAGAUUUGUUGUUUAUACAUCGUGCAGACAAUAAUGUGCCUUCAUUCCCGGAUAGGAGUACUCUUGCAUCACUUUAUGCCUCAGGUCACUUUAUGCCUUUCAAAUGUCCAGAUUUGUGCUUAAAGGGAUGCAUGUUCAUGUAUUAGCCUAACCGACAUAUUUUCUUUUGUUCCUGCAGCCAGAGAGUCUACCCACAGUGAUGUGUGUCUUAAUGCCCUUGGUUGUGGUGGUUCAGAGCUUGUGACAUCGUCUACCCCAACAUGUGAUGUAUACCCAAGUCAUUCCAAGACAACAUGUGCUGUUGUGAAUGACCAAGUGAGUUAAAGCGUAAAAGACGACAAAAGGGAGCGGAGAAACGCACGACGGCGAGCAACUUAUUGAAAGAAAAAGGAUGAACAGGUCAAGCUCCAAAAUGAAAAGCUGACUGUUUCUCGACCCCCUCUUGGUGAUAUCACUAAUAUUGAUCAGCCUUCCGGUUCAAUGCCAGGUACGGGUGUUUAAAGUUAUGAGCUUACGGCGGUGACAAACCAAAUUUGGGAAUCAAAUAUUAGAAUAUGCACUUUUAGCUUUGACUUACAAUAAUUGAUUCAAUAUGAAGUUAAAAACUGGAGUUUGAUAUAUGAACGGUCAAGAAAUGUCAUAUAUCGGAAUGCUUAAAAAAACAUCUGCGGUGUUAGAAAGACGUAAAUGGAUUUAAAAAAUUAAAUUAGAUUUACCGGCACUCAAGAAGGUGAAUAAUAUGAUAGAUGGUUCUCGAUUUGUCAGAAAAAGAAACAAAUGUGGAGUAUGAAACAUUAACUAUCACAACGUCAGUAGCAAACGUUGAUAUGAAAUAGAUGUAUAGUACCCAAGAUGGGUAUAUUAUCAAUUGGGCCAAGUUCUCCAUUGGCACUGCAUGUAUUUUUUUCUCUCGUUGCAAUGGCAAAAUAGAAGAAUUUUGCAAAAUAGAAGAAUUUAUGUAAGCGGACUUGCCAAUGUUCACCAGAUCAACGCACCUCCCACCACCCCGUACCACUAGUUUUAAACUACAUAUCGACAAAAAACCAGAUCGACGCACCAACGAGGACCCGAUCCACUCCUCGUUUCCCACGUUCGUCCUGGAUCACGAGAACGCCGCCGCCGCUGCCGCCUCACAUACGUCGCCCAUGGCGGAUCACGAACAAUACCGUCGCGGAUCAGCAGGCCGCCGCCUUAGGUACCCACACACCACGAUCCAGUCGCGGAUCAGCAGGCCGCCGCCACCGCCAAGUCAGGUACCCACACACCACGAUCCUGUCGCGGGUCAGCAAGACACCGCCGCCACCGCCUCGGGCAGCCACACGCCACAGAUCUCCGACGACGACGCCUACGGCGGCAAGCAGUGCAGGGCGUCUUCACUGAUCAGUUUUCAACCUUGCUUUCUUAAAGGUACAUACGCUCAUGAUCUCUUAAAGAUCACGCAACGCUACAAAAGACAAUUGUCACCAGAUGGAGCCAUAUGCAAUAGAGCCAUAUAUGAUGGAGCCACCAGAUGGAGCCAUACGAAUAAAUGUUCCCCAUGUUCCCAGUUCGAACACCAAAAAUACAUCCCAAGACAAUAGAUGUUUAUCAGAUGUAUACACUGUAGUCAUUUCUUCCCUAUGUUCGCAGUUGGAACACCAAAAAUAUAUGGCAAGCCAAUUGUUCAGUAUACAUACCACAUCAAUUCUAAUGUUGUUGAAAAAUGAUAGGUACGAAUGGGAAAUGCAAAUAGCAAGGCGUCGGAAGAGAAAAGAGUGUCAGAUGUGCCUGUACCCCCUCUUGCCGACCUACAUUCACAAGGGAGCCAAGGUACGUUAGAAUAACAUAAAUGAGUCAGAUGUCAAGGGUGCCCAACAAUCAUUGUAUCUCGCUAAUGUGUUCCAGGCCAUAAUGUUGAUGGAAGUGUUGAUUAAUACAACCCA